UACGUAGGGGGCAAGCGUUGUCCGGAUUUAUUGGGCGUAAAGCGCACGCAGGCGGUCAGCCAAGUUCAGGGUGACAGUUCCCGGCUCAACUGGGAAAGUGGUCUGAAAACUGGCGGACUUGAGGGCUUCAGAGGGACACGGAAUUCCGGGUGGAGUGGUGAAAUGCGCAGAUAUCAGGAAGAACACCCGUGGCUAAGGCGGCUCUCUAGUACGGUACUGACGCUGAGACGCGAAAGCGUGGGGAGCGAACAGG
rnacentral:rRNA from 1 species